AUUGAACGCUGGCGGCAGGCUUAACACAUGCAAGUCGAGCGGAGCGAGGGUGCUUGCACCUUAGCUUAGCGGCGGACGGGUGAGUAAUGCUUAGGAAUCUGCCUAUUAGUGGGGGACAACAUUCCGAAAGGGAUGCUAAUACCGCAUACGCCCUACGGGGGAAAGCAGGGGAUCUUCGGACCUUGCGCUAAUAGAUGACCCUAAGUCGGAUUAGCUAGUUGGUGGGGUAAAGGCCUACCAAGGCGACGAUCUGUAGCGGGUCUGAGAGGAUGAUCCGCCACACUGGAACUGAGACACGGCCCAGACUCCUACGGGAGGCAGCAGCGGGGAAUAUUGGACAAUGGGCGGAAGCCUGAUCCAGCCAUGCCGCGUGUGUGAAGAAGGCCUUUUGGUUGUAAAGCACUUUAAGCGAGGAGGAGGCUACUAGUAUUAAUACUACUGGAUAGUGGACGUUACUCGCAGAAUAAGCACCGGCUAACUCUGUGCCAGCAGCCGCCGUAA
rnacentral:rRNA from 1 species